GAUGAAGAACGCAGCGAAAUGCGAUAAGUAAUGUGAAUUGCAGAAUUCAGUGAAUCAUCGAAUCUUUGAACGCACCUUGCGCCCUUUGGACAUUCCGAAGGGCAUGACUGUUUGAGUAUCAUGAACACCUCAACUCUCACGGCUUGUCCGUGAUGAGCUUGGACUUUGGGGGUCUUGCCGGCCUGUGGUCGGCUCCUCUCAAAUGGAUCAGCUUGCCAGUGUUUGGUGGCAUCACAGGUGUGAUAACUAUCUGCGCUUGUGGUUUUCCAUCAGAUAACCUUCAGUGAUAUGGAGGUUCGCUGGAGCUCACAAAUGUCUCUCCUUAGUGAGGACAGCUCUUUGAACGUUUGAUCUCAAAUCAGGUAGGACUACCCGCUGAACUUAAGCAUAUCAAUAAGCGGAGGA
rnacentral:misc_RNA from 1 species